UACGGGGGGAGCAAGCGUUGUUCGGAUUUACUGGGCGUAAAGGGCGCGUAGGCGGCCAGCACAAGUCAGUUGUGAAAUCUCCGAGCUUAACUCGGAAAGGUCAACUGAUACUGUGCGGCUAGAGUGCAGAAGGGGCAACUGGAAUUCUUGGUGUAGCGGUGAAAUGCGCAGAUAUCAGGAGGAACACCGGUGGCGAAGGCGGGUCUCUGGGCCGAUACUGACGCUGAGGAGCGAAAGCGUGGGGAGCGAACAGG
rnacentral:rRNA from 1 species